rnacentral:rRNA from 1 species
GCCUUACACGACCGUACCGCAAACCGACACUGGUGCGCGAGAUGAGUAUUCUAAGGCGCUUGAGAGAACUCAGGAGAAGGAACUCGGCAAAUUGACACCGUAACUUCGGAAGAAGGUGUGCCUUUAGUAGGUGAACCUGUACAAGGGGAGCCCAAUGAGGUUGCAAAAAAUCGGUGGCUGCGACUGUUUAAUAAAAACACAGCACUCUGCAAACACGAAAGUGGACGUAUAGGGUGUGACGCCUGCCCGGUGCUGGAAGAUUAAAUGAUGGGGUGCAAGCUCUUGAUUGAAGUCCCAGUAAACGGCGGCCGUAACAAUAACGGUCCUAAGGUAGCGAAAUUCCUUGUCGGGUAAGUUCCGACCUGCACGAAUGGCGUAACGAUGGCCACACUGUCUCCUCCUGAGACUCAGCGAAGUUGAAAUGUUUGUGAUGAUGCAAUCUCCCCGCGGAAAGACGGAAAGACCCCAUGAACCUUUACUGUAGCUUUGUAUUGGACUUUGAACAGAUCUGUGUAGGAUAGGUGGGAGGCUUUGAAGUGUGGUCGCUAGAUCGCAUGGAGCCAACGUUGAAAUACCACCCUGGUGUGUUUGAGGUUCUAACCUAGGCCCGUAAUCCGGGUCGGGGACAGUGCAUGGUAGGCAGUUUGACUGGGGCGGUCUCCUCCCAAAGCGUAACGGAGGAGUUCGAAGGUACGCUAGGUACGGUCGGACAUCGUGCUAAUAGUGCAAUGGCAUAAGCGUGCUUAACUGCGAGACUGACAAGUCGAGCAGAUGCGAAAGCAGGACAUAGUGAUCCGGUGGUUCUGUAUGGAAGGGCCAUCGCUCAACGGAUAAAAGGUACUCUGGGGAUAACAGGCUGAUACCGCCCAAGAGUUCAUAUCGACGGCGGUGUUUGGCACCUCGAUGUCGGCUCAUCUCAUCCUGGGGCUGUAGCCGGUCCCAAGGGUAUGGCUGUUCGCCAUUUAAAGAGGUACGUGAGCUGGGUUUAAAACGUCGUGAGACAGUUUGGUCCCUAUCUUCCGUGGGCGCUGCAGAUUUGAGGAAGCCUGCUCCUAGUACGAGAGGACCGGAGUGGACACACCUCUGGUGUAUCGGUUGUCACGCCAGUGGCAUUGCCGAGUAGCUAUGUGUGGAAGAGAUAACCGCUGAAAGCAUCUAAGCGGGAAACUCGUUUCAAGAUGAGAUCUGCCGGGGCCUUGAGCCCCCUAAAGAGUCGUUCAAGACCAGGACGUUGAUAGGUCGGGUGUGGAAGCGCAGUAAUGCGUUAAGCUAACCGAUACUAAUUGCUCGUGCGGCUUGACCA